UACAGAGGUCCCGAGCGUUGUUCGGAUUCACUGGGCGUAAAGGGUGCGUAGGUGGCGAGGUAAGUCGGAUGUGAAAGCUCGGAGCUCAACUCCGAAAUGGCAUUGGAAACUACCUUGCUCGAGGGUUGGAGGGGGGGGGACUGGAAUGCUUGGUGUAGCAGUGAAAUGCGUAGAUAUCAAGCGGAACACCAGUGGCGAAGGCGAGUCCCUGGACAACUCCUGACACUGAGGCACGAAAGCUAGGGGAGCAAACAGG
rnacentral:rRNA from 1 species